UCUCCUCAGAGCAACUCCUGUUAACAUCUCUUUGAAUUACUAAUUCUUUUGUUAAAUUGUGUGUGUGUGUGUGUGUGUGUGUUUGUGUGUGUGUGUGUGUAUGUGUGUGUGUGUGUGUUUGUGUGUGUGUGUGUUUGUGUGUGUGUUUUUGUGUGUGUGUGUGUGUAUGUGUGUGUGUGUGUGUUUGUGUGUGUGUUUUGUGUGUGUGUGUGUAUGUGUGUGUGUGUGAAUGCCAUGUCUGUGCAGGUGCCUGCAGAGGCUAGAAAAGCCCGUGGAGCUAGAGUUACAGAUGGUCCUGAAUAGCAGCCGUGGAAGCUCAGAACCAGACUCUUGUCUUCUGGAAGAACAGCAAGUGUUCUAACUUGUGGGUCAUCCCUCCAGCUCCAGAAUUGUUGAUUCUUUCUUCUUGGUAAAGCCUGCUAUUGAAUCCCUUUCAUGAAAAUUUCAGCCCCUCAGGUGUCAAAAUUGUUCUAUCUGCUCCAUGUCAAACAAGAUUGGGACUGGCUCCUCCUACAGUGCACUGAAAGACCAGGGGCAUUGAAUAUGCGGUCUCCUCUCCUCUCUGCUUUUGAGUGAGAAGCUGUAGACUUGGGCAGAAACCCUUGCAGCUUGGGGAAGGGGACGGCAUCAGUGAAGUGAGACUUCUCCUGUCCCUGAUCUCAGUGAAGCUGUCCUCCACUUUGUCUUUUCGUCGAGUAUGCUUUACCUCCAGCAGCAGGUUCUGCUCCUGACACAAAGGUGGUCGUGACCACACUGGUGUUACAUCAGUGUUCCUGUGUGGACUGAGGAUUAAGACUUCAUGUUCUUCAUCUUGGUGACUAAUAUCUUGGCUUAUUCCAGAGGGUCGGUGAUUACAUGAAUCCCUAAGGAAUUUCAAAGUACUUGUGGCAAUUAUUGUCAGUGACAAGAUGUCCUAUUGAAGAUCACACUUUAUCCAUUCCUUAAUUUUAUCACUUAAGAAAAGACACAUAAAAGCACGUAUUUCCCUCCAUUGCUUUGUUUCUAAAGAUGACUUUGACUUUGGUACAUUGAGAACACACAGUGGCUCCUAAGCCAGAAAUGUUUUAGAAUAUAAUGUGAAAUUAGGCUGAAAUAAUCACUGUCUGUUCCUAAUCGUGGAAUUAGAAAGGACUCAGG
rnacentral:lncRNA from 1 species